AUAUGAAACAGAAUUACCAGUGAGAAAGAAUUUCUCAAAAGGAAAGAAACUAGAUGACGAGUAAGAAGGAAUCACUUUCAGGAAGCCCGCUGCUGGGAUGGAUUACAUUGGCUUCCAAAUGUUGAACUGGCCUUGCAUACUGAAAAGCUGGAGCUGUACCUGAUACACUUUAUAAGCUUUAGGAGCACAGCAGAAGUGCCCAGAACAAUGAUUUGACUGGUUAACCGCUUCCUAGCUGUCCCAAGCACCUUCUAGUCAAUACAAUGCCGGGAGAGUGUAGAAGUCAAUCCAAGUUUCAGAUAAUCAACUUCCUGAACUGGGGGGAAGAAAGGGGGUUGGUGGGGAGCACUGGCAAGAAAUGAGCUAUGGCUAAAAAAGCUUAUUAAUCUUUUUAACAUCUCAAGUAGUAAG